GACGGAGUAGCCCAUUUGGUGAGGCACUCAGUGUCGCCAUUUACGAAUGUACCGGCUGAGUUGAAAUUGGUUCGAAUCCAAUCUCCGUCU
rnacentral:tRNA from 1 species